AGAAUCAUUCGCAAUGGGCGAAAGCCUGACGGUGCGACGUCGCGUGGAGGAUGAAGGUCUUCGGAUUGUAAACUCCUGUCAUGUGGAAUAAACGGCCUCUGUGCGAACACCACGGAGGAAUGAUAGUACCACAGGAGGAAGAGACGGCUAACUCUGUGCCAGCAGCCGCGGUAAUACAGAGGUCUCGAGCGUUGUUCGGAUUUACUGGGCGUAAAGGGAGCGUAGGCGGUUCGGUGUGUUGAAUGUGAAAUCCCACGACUCAAUCGUGGACAUGCAUUCAAAACUGCCGGACUGGAGUACUGGAGAGGAAAGCGGAAUUCCUGGUGUAGCGGUGAAAUGCGUAGAUAUCAGGAGGAACACCGAUGGCGAAGGCAGCUUUCUGGACAGAUACUGACGCUGAGGCUCUAAAGUUAGGGGAGCAAACA
rnacentral:rRNA from 1 species